AUAGGAGUGGAAGUGAGAAGAUGGAGGAGAAGAGAGGUGAGGGAAGUAAGGAGGAAAAUGUAUCGUAUUGGAGAACAUUUUCUACUCUUGAAAGAUCUAUUUUCCACCUUUGUGAAAAUUAUUUUCCAUCCCUUUACUAGCCAAACAAUAAAAAAAUGAGGAAAUUAUGUUUUUUUUUUUUUUUUUUUUUUUUUUUAAUCUCUUUUAUUACUCUGUAUUAAUCGAAUGCUACGUACAAAGUACUCCGUAUCUAAUUACUUAUGAAUGUCGUGGACUCGUGGUACGGUAUUGAACCUACUAAAGCUUACCGAAGAAGAUUGAUCAAACUAGCGGGAAAUUAACAAAAAAAGUUGAACGUACUAAUUAAAGAAUCCUACUGAAGAAGCAAAAGAUUAUGUGACCAAAACUAGCGGGAAAUUAAAUUAAACGUUAUUUAUUCAUCAAUUAUUUUUAUUAUAAUAAAUACACUCACUCACUUUCCCUUCUCCAUUAACUCUCAUUGUGAUCAAACAUCCUUUUCCUUACAAAAUUCUCUCUCCACUUUUUCUUCAUUACAAAAUUCUCAUGAUCAAUUUCUUUUUCUGUUUGAAAUUUGUUUUUUAAUUAAAAUUUAAUUAUUACUGCUCAACUUAGAAAACUUGAUUUAUUCAGCUAGUUCAAAUUUACGUCGAUGUAGCAUGAUAUUGUUGCUACAUAUGCUCUUCAUUUCAUAUAUUUGUCGGAUCCUCGAUACUCGGACAUGAGUAUGGUCUGUGUGGACAAUGCAACACUUAUUUUGGGACUAAAAAGCCGAGUUUGAGUAACAUGGCUUGUUAAUAGCGUUUAUGUAAACUACUGAGUUACUGACUUUAUGAAACACUUGAAUUUUUCAGGGAAUAAAUCAAGGAGAAUAAGCGGAAGAGGGAAUCAGAUUGUCCUGGUGAUGCAAGUACUGUACGGCGGGUGUGUGUCUUUGACUCGCCAACUAAGGGUGAAGAGGAGCGUAAUGUGCGCAAGAGUAGAAGAGAGGUUGUGUUAGACGCGCUUGAGAAACUUGAAUUCCGAAAGGCUUUCUUAAUUUUGAACUACAUUGGGAGAUCGAAGCUGGAGGAUAUUGUUUCUGCUGAUCAAAUUAUGUGUUAUCAAAGGCUUUAUAUGAAGGAAUUUGAGGUUGAGAUAUGGAAUGAUUUUGCUAGAAGCAUUUGCCAGGAAAAGAGCGAGUUCUUAAGGUCAUAUUAUGCUUAUGGUUUCACAUAUAAUUUAUUGUGUCAUGCUCAAAUAGGUAUAAUUGUGAUGGAGAUAACUGCUAGUAAAAUGAACACACAAAAAGUUAUGUUUAUGGACAUUAUUAUUGGUAGGUCAUGAGUUCAUGACACCAUGGGAAGUAAAGUAUGUAUACAUACCUGCACAUAGAAUCUUAGCCGAAUCGAUUUGAUCAUUUUUGGUGAUGCUACAUAUACAAAUUUCAUGUGAAACUGUGUUGCUCUAAUUAUCUGGGGUUGGUACUAGGAUGACAAUUAUGACUAGACACUAGAGUGGAUGUCCCACACCUUGGGCAACAAUUGUGUUGUUUGAUAGGGUAGCUGCUGCAAAUUGCCGAACACUUAUUUGAAUCAUUCUAACAUAAUUUGUUUGAAAAUCAAAAUCCUAGGAUAAAUAUGAAAACACAUAACUUUGAUGUCAAGUUGUAAAUAGUUGGAGUUUUUCCA